rnacentral:rRNA from 1 species
UACGAAGGGGGCUAGCGUUGCUCGGAAUCACUGGGCGUAAAGGGUGCGUAGGCGGGUCUUUAAGUCAGGGGUGAAAUCCUGGAGCUCAACUCCAGAACUGCCUUUGAUACUGACGGUCUUGAGUUCGGGAGAGGUGAGUGGAACUGCGAGUGUAGAGGUGAAAUUCGUAGAUAUUCGCAAGAACACCAGUGGCGAAGGCGGCUCACUGGCCCGAUACUGACGCUGAGGUGCGAAAGCGUGGGGAGCAAACAGG